rfam:Plesiomonas shigelloides 302-73 genomic scaffold scaffold00012, whole genome shotgun sequence.
AGAACUCAUGUGAAAUAUCACACACGUAUCGACACCGUGCUCCGGGGUGCUCUGUUUUCUCUUUAUGGAGAGAUAGAGUCGGUUGCAGGGGAUACGUGGAGGCUUAAC